rnacentral:rRNA from 1 species
UUUUUAUGAGAGUUUGAUCCUGGCUCAGGACGAACGCUGGCGGCGUGCCUAAUACAUGCAAGUCGAACGCUUCUUUUUCCACCGGAGCUUGCUCCACCGGAAAAAGAGGAGUGGCGAACGGGUGAGUAACACGUGGGUAACCUGCCCAUCAGAAGGGGAUAACACUUGGAAACAGGUGCUAAUACCGUAUAACAAUCAAACCGCAUGGUUUUGAUUUGAAAGGCGCUUUCGGGUGUCGCUGAUGGAUGGACCCGCGGUGCAUUAGCUAGUUGGUGAGGUAACGGCUCACCAAGGCCACGAUGCAUAGCCGACCUGAGAGGGUGAUCGGCCACAUUGGGACUGAGACACGGCCCAAACUCCUACGGGAGGCAGCAGUAGGGAAUCUUCGGCAAUGGACGAAAGUCUGACCGAGCAACGCCGCGUGAGUGAAGAAGGUUUUCGGAUCGUAAAACUCUGUUGUUAGAGAAGAACAAGGAUGAGAGUAACUGUUCAUCCCUUGACGGUAUCUAACCAGAAAGCCACGGCUAACUACGUGCCAGCAGCCGCGGUAAUACGUAGGUGGCAAGCGUUGUCCGGAUUUAUUGGGCGUAAAGCGAGCGCAGGCGGUUUCUUAAGUCUGAUGUGAAAGCCCCCGGCUCAACCGGGGAGGGUCAUUGGAAACUGGGAGACUUGAGUGCAGAAGAGGAGAGUGGAAUUCCAUGUGUAGCGGUGAAAUGCGUAGAUAUAUGGAGGAACACCAGUGGCGAAGGCGGCUCUCUGGUCUGUAACUGACGCUGAGGCUCGAAAGCGUGGGGAGCAAACAGGAUUAGAUACCCUGGUAGUCCACGCCGUAAACGAUGAGUGCUAAGUGUUGGAGGGUUUCCGCCCUUCAGUGCUGCAGCUAACGCAUUAAGCACUCCGCCUGGGGAGUACGACCGCAAGGUUGAAACUCAAAGGAAUUGACGGGGGCCCGCACAAGCGGUGGAGCAUGUGGUUUAAUUCGAAGCAACGCGAAGAACCUUACCAGGUCUUGACAUCCUUUGACCACUCUAGAGAUAGAGCUUCCCCUUCGGGGGCAAAGUGACAGGUGGUGCAUGGUUGUCGUCAGCUCGUGUCGUGAGAUGUUGGGUUAAGUCCCGCAACGAGCGCAACCCUUAUUGUUAGUUGCCAUCAUUCAGUUGGGCACUCUAGCAAGACUGCCGGUGACAAACCGGAGGAAGGUGGGGAUGACGUCAAAUCAUCAUGCCCCUU